ACAUUCUUUCCUUUAUUGAAUCGUUGUCCUGUUUGAGAGUUAAUUUCGGCAUUCAUUUCUUUACAGUUUAUUUUUCUGCUGUACAAGUGUAAAAGUUUAUUAGCCUAUGCCGAUAGGCUAUAUAUCUUGGAAAAGACCACCGGAAAACUCACGCCAGUUUCCGGUGGUCGCAAAAAUCAAUCGAUCGUCUCUAAAACAAUAGGAACUUAACAACAUCCCACCAGAGCAGCUGCCCUUGGUCUUCAAUAGCUUCUUAAACUCGUAAUUGACAUUCUCCAGGAAUAAAAAAUAUUGAGAUUCUCUCAGAGCCUCAUCAACAAUGGAAAAGUAAGCAAAAGGGCCGUCCAAAUGGACAGCAGAUUGCAGAAAAAUAAUUUCAGGGUAUGCUGUGGAAAGGGUGGGACGUAUAAUUACUCCCCACCUUUCAGUUGUAAUGUGGCUGCAAACUUGUGUCCUAACCCUAAAGAAUAUAUCAACUGGGAUGGUAGAGACUGUUUACAGAGCCAUAAGUUAGAUGUUGAUUAAUGGAGAGGUCACAAUUCCACCUUUACCAUUGGUAAACACGAGAUGUUAAAGUCCAAAAAGAAUCUAGAUUUCUUGCUAAGUAUUUCUGUGAAUCUGUUCUUACAAUUUUAGAAUAAGAAAAGCCUAAUCAAAGCCUCUCAAUUCUUAGAUUGAUUAUUGUUAUCUUAAAUCAAAGAUUUCAUAUCAUUGGUUUUAUCCAUUUUUAUCAGUU